rnacentral:tRNA from 2 species
GCGGGUGUAGCUCAAUGGUAGAGCCCCAGCCUUCCAAGCUGGUCACGCGGGUUCGAUUCCCGCCACCCGCUCCA